rnacentral:misc_RNA from 1 species
GAUGAAGAACGUAGCGAAAUGCGAUAAGUAGUGUGAAUUGCAGAAUUCAGUGAAUCAUCGAAUCUUUGAACGCACAUUGCGCCCUUUGGUAUUCCUUAGGGCAUGCCUGUUCGAGCGUCAUUUCAACCCUCAAGCCCUGCUUGGUGUUGGGCGUUUGUCCUGCCUCCGCGCGGGACUCGCCUCAAAGACAUUGGCGGCCGGUUUCCCUUUGCAGGCCACGAGCGCAGCACAGCGAGCGCUCUACGUGGACGCGGGGUCGGCGCACCAGAAGCCCUCUUUCUCGAAUUUUGACCUCGGAUCAGGUAGGGAUACCCGCUGAACUUAAGCAUAUCAAUAAGCGGAGGA